rnacentral:rRNA from 1 species
GACGAACGCUGGCGGCGUGCUUAACACAUGCAAGUCGAGCGGUAAGGCCCUUUCGGGGGUACACGAGCGGCGAACGGGUGAGUAACACGUGGGUGACCUGCCCUUAGCUCUGGGAUAAGCCUGGGAAACUGGGUCUAAUACCGGAUAUGACUCCAUAACGCAUGUUGUGGGGUGGAAAGCCUUGUGCGGCUAGGGAUGGGCCCGCGGCCUAUCAGCUUGUUGGUGGGGUGAUGGCCUACCAAGGCGACGACGGGUAGCCGGCCUGAGAGGGCGACCGGCCACACUGGGACUGAGACACGGCCCAGACUCCUACGGGAGGCAGCAGUGGGGAAUCUUGCGCAAUGGGCGAAAGCCUGACGCAGCGACGCCGUGU